rfam:Salmo salar isolate Sally breed double haploid chromosome ssa23, whole genome shotgun sequence.
AUGCAACCAAUUUGUAAGUCGCUCUGGAUAAGAGCGUCUGCUAAAUGAUGUAAA